rnacentral:rRNA from 1 species
UGGGGAAUCUUCGGCAAUGGGGGGAACCCUGACCGAGCAACGCCGCGUGAGUGAAGAAGGUUUUCGGAUCGUAAAGCUCUGUUGUAAGAGAAGAACGGGUGUGAGAGUGGAAAGUUCACACUGUGACGGUAUCUUACCAGAAAGGGACGGCUAACUACGUGCCAGCAGCCGCGGUAAUACGUAGGUCCCGAGCGUUGUCCGGAUUUAUUGGGCGUAAAGCGAGCGCAGGCGGUUAGAUAAGUCUGAAGUUAAAGGCUGUGGCUUAACCAUAGUAUGCUUUGGAAACUGUUUAACUUGAGUGCAGAAGGGGAGAGUGGAAUUCCAUGUGUAGCGGUGAAAUGCGUAGAUAUAUGGAGGAACACCGGUGGCGAAAGCGGCUCUCUGGUCUGUAACUGACGCUGAGGCUCGAAAGCGUGGGGAGCAAACA